rnacentral:rRNA from 1 species
GAUGAACGCUGGCGGCGUGCUUAACACAUGCAAGUCGAACGAAGCAUUUAGAACAGAUUACUUCGGUUUGAAGUUCUUUAUGACUGAGUGGCGGACGGGUGAGUAACGCGUGGGUAACCUGCCUUGUACUGGGGGAUAGCAGCUGGAAACGGCUGGUAAUACCGCAUAAGCGCACAAUGUUGCAUGACAUGGUGUGAAAAACUCCGGUGGUAUAAGAUGGACCCGCGUCUGAUUAGCUAGUUGGUGAGAUAACAGCCCACCAAGGCGACGAUCAGUAGCCGACCGGAGAGGGUGACCGGCCACAUUGGGACUGAGACACGGCCCAGACUCCUACGGGAGGCAGCAGUGGGGAAUAUUGCACAAUGGAGGAAACUCUGAUGCAGCGACGCCGCGUGAGUGAAGAAGUAAUUCGUUAUGUAAAGCUCUAUCAGCAGGGAAGAUAGUGACGGUACCUGACUAAGAAGCUCCGGCUAAAUACGUG